GAUGAACGCUGGCGGCGUGCCUAAUACAUGCAAGUCGAGCGAACAGACGAGGAGCUUGCUCCUCUGACGUUAGCGGCGGACGGGUGAGUAACACGUGGAUAACCUACCUAUAAGACUGGGAUAACUUCGGGAAACCGGAGCUAAUACCGGAUAAUAUAUUGAACCGCAUGGUUUAAUAGUGAAAGACGGUUUUGCUGUCACUUAUAGAUGGAUCCGCGCCGCAUUAGCUAGUUGGUAAGGUAACGGCUUACCAAGGCAACGAUGCGUAGCCGACCUGAGAGGGUGAUCGGCCACACUGGAACUGAGACACGGUCCAGACUCCUGCGGGAGGCAGCAGUAGGGAAUCUUCCGCAAUGGGCGAAAGCCUGACGGAGCAACGCCGCGUGAGUGAUGAAGGUCUUCGGAUCGUAAAACUCUGUUAUUAGGGAAGAACAAAUGUGUAAGUAACUAUGCACGUCUUGACGGUACCUAAUCAGAAAGCCACGGCUAACUACGUG
rnacentral:rRNA from 1 species